GUAUAAGCAAUUAUACCGCGAAACUGCGAAUGGCUCAUUAAAUCAGUUAUCGUUUAUUUGCUAAGUCCAGUACUACUUGGAUAACCGUGGUAAUUCUAGAGCUAAUACAUGCAAAAAACCGCGACUUCGGAAGCGGUGUAUUUAUUAGAUUAAAGACCAAUGCCCUUCGGGGCUGACAGGUGAUUCAUGAUAACUUCUCGAAUCGCAUGGCCUUGCGCCGGCGAUGGUUCAUUCAAAUUUCUGCCCUAUCAACUUUCGACUUUAGUGUAGUGGACUAAAGUGGUUGCAACGGGUAACGGAGGGUUAGGGCUCGACCCCGGAGAAGGAGCCUGAGAAACGGCUACUACAUCCAAGGAAGGCAGCAGGCGCGCAAAUUACCCAAUCCCGACACGGGGAGGUAGUGACAAUAAAUACUGAUACAGGGCUCUUUUGGGUCUUGUAAUUGGAAUGAGUACAAUUUAAAUCCCUUAACGAGGAACAAUUGGAGGGCAAGUCUGGUGCCAGCAGCCGCGGUAAUUCCAGCUCCAAUAGCGUAUAUUAAAGUUGUUGUGGUUAAAAAGCUCGUAGUUGAACCUGGGCCUCGCGCAGACCGGUCCGCCUCACCGCGUGCACUGGUCCUGCCGGGGCUUUCACUAGGGGAUUCGCAUGUCCUUCACUGGGCGUGCGCGGAACCUGGACUUUUACUGUGAAAAAAUUAGAGUGUUCAAAGCAGGCCUAUGCUCGAAUACAUUAGCAUGGAAUAAUAGAAUAGGACGUGUGGUUCUAUUUUGUUGGAUAUGGGACCGCCGUAAUGAUUAAUAGGGACAGUCGGGGGCAUCAGUAUUCAAUUGUCAGAGGUGAAAUUCUUGGAUUUAUUGAAGACUAACUACUGCGAAAGCAUUUGCCAAGGAUGUUUUCAUUACUCAGGAACGAAAGUUAGGCAAUCGAAGACGAUCAGAUACCGUCGUAGUCUUAACCAUAAACUAUGCCGACUAGGGAUCGGGCGAUGUUACUUUUGACUCGCUCGGCACCUUACGAGAAAUCAAAGUCUGUGGGUUCCGGGGAAGUUGGUGGCAACGCUGAAACUUAAGAAUUGAC
rnacentral:rRNA from 1 species